UCCAGCCCUCCUCCGCUCCGGGGCACCGCUCUGCCACCCCUGCGCUCGCAGAGCCACGGCGCAUCAGCGCUGCUCGGGAGGCUGAGCCCAGCCACCGCUCACAGCUGAGGGGGACACGCUUCGGUUUCACCACAGGCAGCAUGAAACUGCAGGGAGUUCAGGGCCCUGACGUGUGAAGACAGCCUGAUGCUCAGCUGAUGUUCAGCGGCCACAGCAGCACAGAGCUCAGGAGGGGCUGCAAAACCCAGCAGGGAAAUGGGGCACCAUAAAGGCUGGACCCAGAGUUUGUGAUUCAAGCCAUGAAAGGCAGCUGUUCAUGAGCUUCAGCACCUUGACAGAGCAUGU